GCAUUGCUGAGGAAUCCGACAAUAGGAUGAAACGGCCGUCCAGUGC
rfam:Schistosoma rodhaini strain Burundi genome assembly, scaffold: SROB_scaffold0001055